rnacentral:rRNA from 1 species
GACGUAGGGCGCGAGCGUUGUCCGGAAUUAUUGGGCGUAAAGAGCUCGUAGGCGGUGUGUCGCGUCGGCCGUGAAAACCUGCAGCUUAACUGUGGGCUUGCGGUCGAUACGGGCAUCACUGGAGUUCGGCAGGGGAGACUGGAAUUCCUGGUGUAGCGGUGAAAUGCGCAGAUAUCAGGAGGAACACCGGUGGCGAAGGCGGGUCUCUGGGCCGAUACUGACGCUGAGGAGCGAAAGCCAGGGGAGCAAACGGG